UCGCGGCUUAUCACCGGCAGUCCCCUUAGAGUGCCCAACUAAAUGAUGGCAACUAAGGGCGAGGGUUGCGCUCGUUGCGGGACUUAACCCAACAUCUCACGACACGAGCUGACGACAGCCAUGCAGCACCUGUGUUCCGGCCAGCCGAACUGAAGGACUCCAUCUCUGGUGCCCAUACCGGACAUGUCAAAAGCUGGUAAGGUUCUUCGCGUUGCGUCGAAUUGAACCACAUGCUCCACCGCUUGUGCGGGCCCCCGUCAAUUCCUUUGAGUUUUCGCCUUGCGGCCGUACUCCCCAGGCGGGGCACUUAAUGCGUUAGCUGCGGCACGGACCACGUGGAAUGUGGCCCACACCUAGUGCCCAACGUUUACGGCGUGGACUAC
rnacentral:misc_RNA from 1 species